AUGUACAAUAAUGUUGUGACAAGUGUUCGAACAAGUGAUGUCGACACCGAUGACUUCCUGAUUAAGAUAGGACUGCAUCAGGGGUCAGCUUUGAGCCCUUAUCUUUUUGCAUUGGUGAUGGAUGAGGUCACAAGGGGUAUACAAGGAGAUAUCCCAUGGUGUAUGCUCUUUGCGGAUGAUGUGGUGCUAGUUGACGAUAGUCGGACGGGGGUAAAUAGGAAGUUAGAGUUAUGGAGACAAACCUUGGAAUCGAAAGGGUUUAGGCUUAGUAGAACUAAAACCGAGUACAUGAUGUGCGAUUUCAGUACUACUAGCUGUGAGGAGGAGGAGGUUAGCCUUGAUGGCCAGGUGGUACCUCGGAAGGACACCUUUCGGUAUUUGGGGUCAAUGUUGCAGGAGGAUGGGGGUAUUGAUGAAGAUGUGAACCAUCGAAUCAAAGCCGGAUGGAUGAAGUGGCGCCAAGCUUCUGGCAUUCUCUGUGACAAGAGAGUGCCACAAAAGCUAAAAGGCAAGUUCUACAGGAUGGCGGUUCGACCCGCAAUGUUGUAUGGCGCGGAGUGUUGGCCGACUAAAAGGCGACAUGUUCAACAGUUAGGUGUGGCGGAGAUGCGUAUGUUGAGAUGGAUGUGUGGCCACACGAGGAAGGGUCGAGUCCGGAAUGUUGAUAUACGAGAUAGAGUUGGGGUAGCACCAAUUGAGGAGAAGCUUGUCCAACAUCGUUUGAGAUGGUUUGGGCAUAUUCAGUGCAGGCCUCCAGAAGCUCCAGUGCAUAGCGGACGGCUAAAGCGUGCGGAGAAUGUCAAGAGAGGGCGGGGUCGACCGAUUUUGACAUGGGAGGAGUCCGUUAAGAGAGACCUGAAGGAUUGA
rnacentral:rRNA from 1 species